GAUGAACGCUGGCGGCGUGCCUAAUACAUGCAAGUCGAACGCAUAGCGAAAGGUGCUUGCACCUUUCCAGUGAGUGGCGAAGGGGUGAGUAACACGUGAACAUCCUCCCUCAAGGCUGGGGAUAACAUGUGGAAACAGCUGCUAAUACCGAAUAAAACUUAGUGCCGCAUGACACAAAGUUAAAAUGCGCUUCUGCGUCUCCUAGAGAUGCUUCCGGGCUUCAUUAGGUAGUUGGUGGGGUAAAGGGCUAGCAAGAGAAUGCUGCAUAGCCGAGUUCAGAGACGGAUCGGCGACAUGGGGGGUGAGACACGGCCCAAACGCCUACGGGAGGCUGCAGUAGGGAAUCUGAGACAGUGGGAGAAAGUCUGAUGGAGCAAGGCCGAGUGUGUGAUAGAAGCGUUCGGGUCGUAAAGCAGUGUUGUAGGGUGAAAACAGCUAGAGUAGGUGAUGAUGUUAGUUUGACGGUAACGGAUCAGAAAGGGACGGCUAAAUACGUG
rnacentral:rRNA from 1 species